rnacentral:rRNA from 1 species
UUCGCAAUGCCCGAAAGGGUGACGGUGCGACGCCGCGUGGGUGACGAAGGCCUUCGGGUUGUAAAGCCCUGUCGAGGCGGGAAGAACCCCCCAUCGGUGAACAGCCUUUGGGGCUGACGGUACCGCCACAGGAAGCUCCGGCCAACUCCGUGCCAGCAGCCGCGGUAAGUCGGGUGGAGCAAGCGUUGUUCGGAAUUAUUGGGCGUAAAGAGCACGUAGGCGGCCUUGCAAGUCAGUUGUGAAAGCCUUCCGCUCAACGGAAGAAUGCCAGCUGAUACUACAGGGCUUGAGUACGGGAGGGGAGAGUGGAACUUCUGGUGGAGCGGUGAAAUGCGUAGAUAUCAGAAGGAACGCCGGCGGCGAAAGCGACUCUCUGGCCCGAAACUGACGCUGAGUGUGCGAAAGCUAGGGGAGCAAACGGGAUUAGAUACCCCGGUAGUCCUAGCCGUAAACGAUGGGCACUAAGUAGAGGGGUUUU